rnacentral:misc_RNA from 1 species
GAUGAAGAACGUAGCGAAAUGCGAUAAGUAAUGUGAAUUGCAGAAUUCAGUGAAUCAUCGAAUCUUUGAACGCACAUUGCGCCCGUCAGUAUUCUGGCGGGCAUGCCUGUUCGAGCGUCAUUACGCCCCUCAAGUCCCCUGUGGACUUGGUGUUGGGGAUCGGCGAGGCUGGUUUUCCAGCACAGCCGUCCCUUAAACUAAUUGGCGGUCUCGCCGUGGCCCUCCUCUGCGCAGUAGUAAAACACUCGCAACAGGAGCCCGGCGCGGUCCACUGCCGUAAAACCCCCCAACUUUUUAUAGUUGACCUCGAAUCAGGUAGGACUACCCGCUGAACUUAAGCAUAUCAAUAAGCGGAGGA